CAUUGUUGGUCGAUUUCCAACGGAGGUGGUGUUGUAAUAAGUCAUGUGAGUAAGGUGCGGAAGUUGGAUACAAUUUCAACAUGGCUGCGCCGCGAUAAGGAAAGAAGAACCUAGCUGCGCCUCGCAAAAACAUAACGGUUUACCUUCGUCCGACCAGUUUUUCAGAGAGCAUCAAGACAUGUUGACGCUAGUGUUUAAGCUAAUGGCAUAACGUCCAAGAGCAGAUCUGACAUCAACACCGGACCCGAGACAGAUAACCUCGUCUCAUCACUGAGUUGACCAGCUACCAGCAGCUGUGAUGUCUCUAGCUGACCCCACCUCUGACACCACGCCCUUCUUCUCUGAUGACAGCGAGGCGGAAGGCUCAGAAGAGCCUGGUGCGGGGCCCAGCCAGCACCGAGAAGUGAAAGAGCCAGCCAGCGGCGUGUCCAGCAUGAGAUCGGUGUUCACUGUUAUCGUCCUGUGUUUCAUCAACCUGCUCAACUACAUGGACAGGUUCACCGUGGCUGGUGUUUUGCCUGACAUUGAGCAGUACUUUGGGAUCAAUGAUGGGAAGUCGGGGCUGCUACAAACAGUCUUCAUCUGCAGCUACAUGUUCCUGGCUCCUGUCUUUGGUUACCUGGGUGACCGGUACAACAGGAAGGUGAUCAUGAGUGUGGGCAUCGGCUUCUGGUCCGUGGUGACGCUUGCCAGCUCCUACAUGCCCAGAGAAUAUUUCUGGCUCCUGUUGUUGACGCGUGGCCUCGUGGGGGUUGGGGAGGCCAGUUAUUCCACUAUCGCCCCAACCAUCAUUGCUGACCUGUACGUCAAGGAGAGGAGGACGCAGAUGCUCUCUGUCUUCUAUUUCGCCAUUCCAGUGGGCAGUGGUCUGGGCUACAUCGUGGGGUCAAAGGUUGAUGACAUGGCAGGGGACUGGCAUUGGGCCCUGCGGGUGACUCCUGCGUUAGGACUGGUAGCGGUGGUGUUGCUUCUGUUUGUGGUGAAAGAGCCGAAGAGGGGUGCUAUCGAGGCCCGACCGGAGCACACCCUCCAAAGGACCAGCUGGCUGGGUGACAUGAAGGCCCUUUGCAGAAACCCCAGCUUUGUGUUGUCUACGUUUGGCUUCACAGCAGUGGCCUUUGUGACUGGCUCCUUGGCACUCUGGGCCCCGGCCUUCCUCUUCAGAGCUGCUGUCUUCACCGGAGAAAGGCCCCCCUGCAUUAAGGCGCCCUGCGACACCUCCGACAGCCUGUACUUUGGCAUCAUCACAGUUGUGUCGGGGAUCCUGGGUGUGGCCAGUGGUGCAGAGGUCAGUAGGAGGCUGAGGUUGAGGACCCCAAAGGCUGACCCCCUGGUGUGUGCUCUAGGACUUCUGCUCUCAGCGCCCUUCCUCUACCUCGCUAUCGUCUUCGCUCAGGCCAGCCCCACUGCCACCUACGUGUUUAUCUUCCUGGGCGAGACCUUCCUGUCUAUGAACUGGGCCAUCGUAGCGGACAUCCUGCUAUACGUGGUGGUCCCCACGCGUCGCGCCACAGCUGAGGCCUUCCAGAUCGUUCUCUCUCACCUGCUAGGAGAUGCUGGGAGUCCUUAUCUCAUAGGCCUGGUGUCAGACUCUCUGAAGCAGACUGACUCGUACCUGUGGCAGUUCCGCUCCCUGCAGCUCUCCCUCCUCAUGUGCACUUUUGUGGCAGUGGGGGGCGGGUCUUUCUUCCUGGCCACCGCCCUUUUCAUCGAGAAGGACCGUCAACGUGCCGCAAACUACACACCCUCAGCAAUGGCCUGGGGAAUAGUUACAGGGGAUGAAUGAGCCAAUUGGAAGCUGGGGAUGAUUUGGUGGCCAUGAUUGUAUGCGGGCCAGAUUUGGGAAUUGAGCCAGUAUACCAGGGUUUACACCUUUACUCUUACAAUGAUGAACCAAUUGUUGUACCGAAGAGCGGCAGGUCCACGAGGGUGCCAGUGUCCAGCGUUUUGAUUUGAGAUUAAAGGGACGUUGGAGGCUCCUGUGGAAUAUGCUGCACCCUGAUUGGUCCCUGUUUCAAUCACGCAGCAGUGUUUUUACAUUUAGGGCCUUUAAUUGGACAAUGCCCUAUACAGAGACUUUUAUUUAUUAUUUGUAACAUUUGAGGUGAUAUGGUUUUUAAUACCUUUAUCUGCUGAGGAACAUUGCAGAGUCAGAGCUGCCAAACCGUUCCACUCAUCAUUUCCUGGUGUUUUUGUAGUGACCAAUCAGAUAUUCCACUUCUGAUUGGCCUCACGUGUUGGCAUGACAACAUGAGACAAAGUGGCUUAUGAGAAAUGUAUGCAGAGUAGUAAACAUGAAGUCAAAGAGCCACAUCAGUGGAAGCCUAACCUCUGUGGCUGGAAGAGGUGACCGGAUAGAAGAAAGCACAAAAGAGAAUUUCAGAAGAGGCAGCUACUUUACCCGAGGGAGAGAAAGAAGCAGAAAGCCUUUUUGCGUUCCGAUGCGUGCACCCCAGUUAUCUCCUGUUACAGCCAAUGUGUCACAGGGGUCACAGAUAGGGGUGUCACUCUUAGACAGACACUCAUCCGUUACCCCACAGGGACUAUAUGUCGACGGUAGAGACCUCUGCGGAAAACCGGCAGGAUAUUUUUCACCCCAGUGCUCUGAUUGAUUUCUAACCACUACAUCCCAACUACUGCUGCUGUGCUUCUUGCUUGGGUCUGAAACGCAGAGAUCUGAUUGGCCACGGAAUAACUAGGACCGGUCCAUUUCGAAGCCAUUCCAACCAGUGCUGUCGUCCUCCCGUCAACAAACUUAAGACUAAAUAUUAUGCUUGUUCGUUCAGUGUAACCACAAACUACUUACUACAUACAGUAUCCAACCGAAAAAAAUGGAGUUGGCAGGCACAGGCCGCAUUGUACUCCAAACCCACCGAUCGGUUGUGGGAUGUUGCAUUUAUAACAGAUUAAGCCUAAUCAUGCUUGUUGUUUUUAGACCCGUUUGGUAUAUUAUAAUAAUAACACUAGAUUUGUCCCUCAGCUACCUAGAACGUGGUGGAGGGACAGACGUCUGUUCCAGACAGGUACAGAAGAUAAUCUAUGUUUUCUUUAUUAAGACCCUUCUUUUUUUUUUUUUCUUUUUUUUUGUUGCAAUUACUGGUGUUUUUAUGGAAUGAUCCUGGCUGUCCGGCGUACUUUAUGAGGUCACAAAAUCCAGAGUCACUGAUGUCACAACGACCAGGAGAUCAAAUCGGGUCUAUUACAGUUGAAUUGUCUAAGGAAAAUGGAUAUCCCUUUUUAAUGAAGACUAUUGUUACAUUAUUUCUUUUUUUUUUAAAGAAUGUAUUGGUUAUUUUGGAAAGUGAAGCCUUAAAAUAAUUAGUUCUGUUUUUAACUUUAAUUUGAUUUGAUGUAAAACUUUCGUUGAAAGAUUAAACGAUGAGAAUGGACCGUU